CUCUUAUACAGGCUUAGGGAAGGUAAUUUUCAGUUAAAAUCAUUCGUGCCUAAUACAGACUGUGUACCAUUAUAUUAUUCACUCAUGAUUGGUGGGAGUGUAACUGACUCUAAGGAAGGUGUAUUAAUAAGGUAACAACUUCAGAGCUUUAUUUUAUUAUUUUCCUCUCUUCAUAUUAUAAGUCCUUUUAUUCUAGCGCCUCCUAGCGGAACGUUAAUCUUGCAUCUAAAGGGAGAGGGGGGGACUAGUUUUGUGAGACACACGCACGGAAGUAAGGAGGAAAACACACGUAGCUCUGAAAUUAAGAGGCUCUAUAAACGGGAUAAUUAAGCACCUAGCUGGAACGGGAACAAGCUCUUACGGUGUUUCAUGAAGAAACGGAAGGUAUAUUUGUGUUCAGAACAAGGCUGACGGCUGAACGUAAAUAAAAGCUUCUGGAAACAUCA